UACAGAGGUCUCAAGCGUUUGUUCGGAUUCACUGGGCGUAAAGGGUGCGUAGGUGGUGAGGUAAGUCGGAUGUGAAAUCUCCGAGCUCAACUCGGAAACUGCAUUGGAAACUGCCUUGCUCGAGGGUUGGAGGGGGGACUGGAAUGCUUGGUGUAGCAGUGAAAUGGCGUAGAUAUCAAGCGGAACACCAGUGGCGAAGGCGAGUCCCUGGACAACUCCUGACACUGAGGCACGAAAGCUAGGGGAGCAAACAGG
rnacentral:rRNA from 1 species